UGAAAAAUCUGACUUAUGAAAUGUUUUCUCACAUAUUUUUUAUAAAAUAAAUACCAUAUAUAUUGGACAUUGCCAAAUCCGAGAUAAUUAUCGUGUAUUGAAUUUUUGCAUUUUUUUAUAAUUAAUGCUUUCGACGCCGUCAGUUUCCGACCAUGUUCAUCUCCUCCCUUCCGUCCGGUGGCUCUCCUCAAACCGAGAGGCUUGCAGAGAGUUUAGAGAGAGAGGGAAGACGAGCUUCGAUGGAGUCAACCAUAUCCAAGACUCUCUCUCUCUCUCUCUAUCCUCAUCUCCCUCCUCCCUCAAUCCCUUCAUCUCCUCCGGCUCUCGCGAGGUUCCGCUUGCGGUGCGUUCCGAGCUUCGCUGCGGCUGACACGGUGGCGGCGGCGGCAGCGGCGGAGUUCACGGUGAGGAUGGGAAGGCGAAAUCGGCCGUGGAUGGAGCCGAUGAAGCCUCAGCCGUCUGCUCUCGCAGUUUAUGUGAAUGGAAUGACUUGUGGGGGAUGUGCAGCGAGCUUGAAGAGAAUUCUGGAAAAUCAAGGGGUGGUUGACAAGUUCUCUGGAUGCUCCCGUGGAUUUGGUUAUGAGAAGAAGCAAGCAAUGGAUGAGGCUAUUGAGGAAAUGAAUGGACUUGGACGGGAGAAAUAUCAUUGAGGAAAAAGCUCAGCCUUGAGGUUCAGGUAGAGACUGAGAUGGUGAUUGCAGUCGUGAUUGUGGUCAUAAUUGUGGCCUCAGUUGGGACUCUGGUGGUGGACAUGGAGGUGGAGGUUCAGAGUGCUUUAAGUGUGACAAGCCUGGGCAUUUGCACGGGAGUGUCCUCGUGAAGGGGGCUGGGGAGGUAGGUAUGGGGGGAGGGAUGACAGGUAUGGAGUUGGUGGUGGUGGGCACUAUGGUCCUGAUCGAAAUGGUGAUUGAUCUGGAGGGCGCAAUAGGGAUAGUGGUACUCAAGGAGGAUCAGGAAAUGCUCCUAUAAUCAGGACCGUUCUGGUCCCUAUGAACAUUGUGGUACAGGGAACUUCCGUCCGGGGUAGAAAGAAUACUACUGAUAGCUAUGCACAUAAUUUUUUCCAGUUAUAGUAAAGCAGUUGAUUCUGUGUUGGUUGAAAAAUAUUUGGUCCUUGUAGCAGAGCAAUUGGAGGUACUGCUGUUACUUUCUGGAGGUGUCAAAGUCCCUUUUGCUGAA